ACUCCUACGGGAGGCAGCAGUAGGGAAUAUUGCGCAAUGGACGAAAGUCUGACGCAGCAACGCCGCGUGGGUGAUGAAGCAUUUCGGUGUGUAAAACCCUGUCAGUGGGGAAGAAAAGUAUCGAGAGUAACUGCUCGGUACCUGACGGUACCCGCAGAGGAAGUCCCGGCUAACUCCGUGCCAGCAGCCGCGGUAAU
rnacentral:rRNA from 1 species